CAUACGCUCUGUUUUGUGUAUUUAUUUUAUAAUAAAGGACAUAUAAGUGAAAUUUAUAGUUUGCUACGAAGUGGUUUUGUGUGCAACUUGUUAUAUUUCAUAAUAAGAUUUAGUUUCUAUUAAUAGAAAAACUGGUAUGUGUACCAUGGACAUGUGAAGUACUCGACAUUACGCCACCCUAUUUAAAUACAACAUUUGUGCGUGCACCGGAGCCCGUGAGGAUCUUUAGCUGCGCCGUGGAGAAAGACAGCAAACCCAGGAGACUAGUGAACCAGCACAUCAAAGAGGUUCGACAUAAUCCCGCGAAAAUCCUCCGAAUGUAUCCCCAGGCUCGUUUUUUGGAGUGCUCCAUAUUAUAUAUGAUAUAUCAUAUAUAUGGAAUAAGGCUCAGUGGAGAGCUUAUUUCAAAGCCUAAAUAUG